rnacentral:lncRNA from 1 species
AUGCGGGCUCAGGGGGUGUCGGUCCGCCCUGACCUCGUCCUCCAGCCUGGUCCCGGGACCAGCGCAAACGGUUACACCGUGGGCAGUGCCGUGGCCGUGGAGAUGCGGCUCCUGGUACGAGGCGCCGGUCGGUGCAGACCCACCUCGGCCUCCUCGUCUGUAAGGGGCGCGGCCUCGGCCCAGGGGCGCCAGCGAGGGGCGCAGUCCCGGGACGGCUGCUGGAGGGCGCGGACCCGCACGGGCGGCCCCGGAUUCCACCCCGCCGCGCGGAGCGCAGUCACGACACGGGCGCUGCAGUCAGGACAGGGGCCCACGGCGGCGCCGGCCUCAGGGCCAGACGCGCCCUUCGGGGGCAGCGACCCGUCGGAGUGGGAACUCGCGUUCGCUUUCUGUCUGGACAACGAAUCGAGUCGGCCGGGGUCGACGGGGGCGCGCAGACUCCGACUCCGCGGCGCGGCCCACGUGCAGGCUGCGCUCCGGGAGCUUCCGGCACAGGCGCCGGCCCCACCGGGCUUCCCGCCGUCUCUCCAGCCCUCUCCCCGGCGGGCAGCGCCGGGCGCGCGUCCCCGGAGCCUCACGGCCACGCCCGCCGGGGACGCGAGCGGUCACUCACCUGGGGCCCACGACGGGGAGGGGAGGGUCCGCGGCCGGAAGAGGGAGAGGCGGCCCCUCCCCCGCACAGCGCCCCAGGCCCCUCCCACUCCGCCCCGCCCCUCCCACUCAGGCCCCGCCUCCUCCCACUCAUGCCCACGCCCCCUCCCACUCAGGCCCCCUGAGGCCCCUCCCACUCAGGCUCCUCCCCUGCAGUGCCCCAGGCCCCUCCCACUCAGGCCCCGCCCCUCCCACUCAGGCCCCUCCCACUCAGCCUCCUCCCCUGCACAGCGCCCCAGGUCCCUCCCACUCAGGCCCCCAGGCCCCUGCCACUCAGGCUCCAGGCCCCUCCCACUCAUGCCCCGCCCCCUGCCCCGUGCGCGCGUCCCCGCGCGUGUUCCCCGCGUGGAUGCCACGUGCACAAGCCGCCGCUGCCUCCUCCCACGCGGACGGGGCCCAGCCUGCGCUGCCCCCACCGCGGGCUGA